GAGCCAAGCUCUCCAGCUGCCACUUCUGUCAAGCCAUUUUGCCGUCAUUAAUGUUUACGGCCACCAUCAAAAUGGGAUAGUGGGCACCCGGCCUUAGUCAAGUCAGGUUGGGUUGGGAUAGAUUGUUUGGUUAGAUUAAAUUCUUGACAGGUUGGGAUAGGCUGGAUAGCAAUAUGAUAGGCUUCAGGAACAGUUAGGUUAGUUAGUUACAUCAAAUCAGGAUUUUUGUUCCCCUCCCCCCUCUCUAAUCAGCCAAUUAAUCAUUGGGGUGCAUACGCUGGGGGUGCGUCGCCUUGCCCACCCCAGGCUUUUCCCCCUGCAAGCCCCCUUCCUCCCCACCUCAAGCACCUCACGGCAUGGACUCUGUGGGCAUCCCCUUAGCCUCCUCUUCCUUUCCCCUUCUGAAAAUAAGUGAUUUCUGCGAAACAAAUAUUACAGAAUAAAGAAAUAAUAAUAAUAAAGAAUCCUUAUAAUACUUAGCAAACCCAACACUAGGGUAAGGUGAUGUACUCUCCGGUGCUAAAUCUCCCACUGAUAUACUAAUUGGACUUUGCCACACAGAUGCUGGACUUUGUGGACCCUGGCGGCCAUGAGGAGGUGUCCAUGGGCGCUGGGCAAGGCCGAGGGCGAGGAGUACAGCACACUGGAUGAGGGGGACCAUGGAUGGUGCAGGGCUCUCAGGAGAUGGACAAGCAGGAACAGGGGACCAGAACUCACAGGUGUUCUUCAUUGAGUGUGUGAGUGCCGCUGUCGUCACCAUGAACACCUGCUCGGAGGCACCAAGACUUGUCAAGCCGUCAAGCCAGUCAGUGAACCCAGUCUGCAAGACAUCUUGGUCAAGAUGGGACACAACCUAACACGCAAACCCUUCAAGCUGGAGAACCAAGACUGGCUGCCAACACUCACUCACUCCGCCAGUUGAGUCUUCUGUACCCCCACUGUUGUUUUCCCGUCCUGAGAAUACCCCACCAGGACUCCUUGCAAUCACUGUCAUGGUUUGCAGGUGGGUGUUUGGUGACCCAGGGCAUUGAGGGAAGCUAGACGCUCUCCUAUAGGGCUUCAGGCAGAUACAACUUCCUCAUCACCUGCUUCACUCCAGCCCAGACUUUGCCACAGCUUCAUCUUAAGGCAGAAGAAGAAGAAGAAGAAGAAAACACACAGAGAGAGAAGAGGAGGAAGAAGAAGAGGAAGGACUUGUAAUAUGGCAGACAUCAAACCAAUGGAUGUGUGAAGAAGAAAAAGAAGAGGAAGAAGAAGAAGAAGAAGAAGAAGACUCUGCUCACAAGUAAGAAAUUCUGUGUCCCCGCUGUACCUCAUUGGAGAAGAAUCGAGCGGUUGAGUGGACUCCAUCUCUUGAGGGGCGGCUUCGUAUCCCAGCGUGAUCUCCUGCAAGGCAUCCCAGCACACACCACAUGCUCUGGAGGGGGAGAGAAAGUCAAGAUGAAUUGGCCUUGUCUUGGAGGAAAUGUACUCUGUUUUGAUUUUGCUCUCAAUAAACAUAGACCCUAA